rnacentral:rRNA from 1 species
UGGGGAAUAUUGCACAAUGGGCGCAAGCCUGAUGCAGCCAUGCCGCGUGUAUGAAGAAGGCCUUCGGGUUGUAAAGUACUUUCAGCGAGGAGGAAGGCGUUGUGGUUAAUAACCGCAACGAUUGACGUUACUCGCAGAAGAAGCACCGGCUAACUCCGUGCCAGAAGCCGCGGUAAUACGGAGGGUGCAAGCGUUAAUCGGAAUUACUGGGCGUAAAGCGCACGCAGGCGGUUUGUCAAGUCGGAUGUGAAAUCCCCGGGCUCAACCUGGGAACUGCAUCCGAAACUGGCAGGCUAGAGUCUUGUAGAGGGGGGUAGAAUUCCAGGUGUAGCGGUGAAAUGCGUAGAGAUCUGGAGGAAUACCGGUGGCGAAGGCGGCCCCCUGGACAAAGACUGACGCUCAGGUGCGAAAGCGUGGGGAGCAAACA